rnacentral:rRNA from 1 species
GGAUUGUAGUCUGCAACUCGACUACAUGAAGCUGGAAUCGCUAGUAAUCGCGAAUCAGAAUGUCGCGGUGAAUACGUUCCCGGGUCUUGUACACACCGCCCGUCACACCAUGGGAGUUGGUAACACCCGAAGUCAGUAGUCUAACCGCAAGGAGGACGCUGCCGAAGGUGGGAUUAGCGACUGGGGUGAAGUCGUAACAAGGUACC